rnacentral:rRNA from 1 species
GUGUGACCACCUGAUCCCAUGCCGAACUCAGAAGUGAAACGCGGUAGCGCCGAUGGUAGUGUGGCAUUCGCCAUGCGAGAGUAGGACACUGCCAGGC